GGCCAAUGUUGGUAUGGUGGGUCCCAGGCUUUUCUUGGCAGGGGACUGAGACCCCACCCCUUUCCCCUGCUCUUGAGGGACCACGGACCUCACUUUGCCCAGGAAGAGUCCUUGGAUCUGGAAUUUCAAGAUGCAUUUUAAAACAAGAAGGGGCUCGAGGGUCUAAGGACUAGACGGAGUAAAACAGGAGAAGGAGCGUCAACACUGUUGCUAGAUAAAAGUCUGAAGAGAGAUUUUGGUGGAUGUGAUUGAAAGUGUUUAAAUAAAAGAUGAC